ACUUUCUUAGUAUAACUAGUACUGUUGACUUCCAAUCAACAAGAUCCGUAAAUAGCGGAAGAAAGUA
rnacentral:tRNA from 1 species